rfam:Nomascus leucogenys chromosome 1a, whole genome shotgun sequence.
CUAACGGCUCUUUUAAGAGCCACCCAUCUUCUCAAAGAAAGAGCUG